UACGUAGGUGGCGAGCGUUAUCCGGAAUGAUUGGGCGUAAAGGGUGCGCAGGCGGGCUGUUAAGCCGGCGGUAAAAAUUCAGGGCUCAACCCUGUCGAGCCGUCGGAACUGGCAGUCUUGAGUGGGCGAGAAGUAUGCGGAAUGCGUGGUGUAGCGGUGAAAUGCAUAGAUAUCACGCAGAACGCCGAUUGCGAAGGCAGCAUACCGGCGCCCAACUGACGCUGAGGCACGAAAGCGUGGGGAUCGAACAGG
rnacentral:rRNA from 1 species